rnacentral:rRNA from 1 species
GCAAGUCGAACGGUAACAGGAAGCAGCUUGCUGCUUCGCUGACGAGUGGCGGACGGGUGAGUAAUGUCUGGGAAACUGCCUGAUGGAGGGGGAUAACUACCGGAAACGGUAGCUAAUACCGCAUAAUGUCGCAAGACCAAAGAGGGGGACCUUCGGGCCUCUUGCCAUCGGAUGUGCCCAGAUGGGAUUAGCUUGUUGGCGGGGUAACGGCUCACCAAGGCGACGAUCCCUAGCUGGUCUGAGAGGAUGACCAGCCACACUGGAACUGAGACACGGUCCAGACUCCUACGGGAGGCAGCAGUGGGGAAUAUUGCACAAUGGGCGCAAGCCUGAUGCAGCCAUGCCGCGUGUAUGAAGAAGGCCUUCGGGUUGUAAAGUACUUUCAGCGGGGAGGAAGGGAGUAAAGUUAAUACCUUUGCUCAUUGACGUUACCCGCAGAAGAAGCACCGGCUAACUCCGUGCCAGCAGCCGCGGUAAUACGGAGGGUGCAAGCGUUAAUCGGAAUUACUGGGCGUAAAGCGCACGCAGGCGGUUUGUUAAGUCAGAUGUGAAAUCCCCGGGCUCAACCUGGGAACUGCAUCUGAUACUGGCAAGCUUGAGUCUCGUAGAGGGGGGUAGAAUUCCAGGUGUAGCGGUGAAAUGCGUAGAGAUCUGGAGGAAUACCGGUGGCGAAGGCG